rnacentral:rRNA from 1 species
UGGCUCAGAACGAACGCUGGCGGCGUGCCUAACACAUGCAAGUCGAACGAGAAAGUGGAGCAAUCCAUGAGUACAGUGGCGACCGGGUGAGUAACACGUGACUAACCUACCCUCGAGUGGGGAAUAACUCCGGGAAACCGGAGCUAAUACCGCAUAACAUCGCAAGACCAAAGCAGCAAUGCGCUUGAGGAGGGGGUCGCGGCUGAUUAGCUAGUUGGUAGGGUAACGGCCUACCGGGGAUGAGAUCGGUAUCCGGCCUGAGAGGGCGCACGGACACACUGUAUCUGAAACACGGACCAGACUCCUACGGGAGUCCUCAGUGGGG